CUUUGUCUAGUUGCCAUUCCUGGAGCCUGCUGCAUUAAUGGUACUUUGAAUCCACAGCUACACAUUAAAGGACCACCCUCAAGGCACGAGUAUGUUUUCCUGGCACUAUAGUGCCCUGAGGGUGCCCCCACCCUCAGGGGCCCCCUCCUGCCGGGCUCUGGGGGGAGGAAGGGGUUAAAAUCACCUCUUUCUCCAGCUCCGGGCAGGGAGCUCUCCUCUCCGCCUCCUCUCCUCCUCUUCGGCUGAAUGUGCAUGCGCGGCAGGAGCUGCGCGCGCAUUCAGCCAGUCCAUAGGAAAGCAUUCACAAUGCUUUCCUAUGGACGCUGGCGUCUUAUCACUGUGAAAAUCACAGAGGCUGGAUUAACCCAUUUAUAAACAUAGCAGUUUCUCUGAAACUGCUAUGUUUAUAAAAAAAAAAGGGUUAACCCUAGAAGGACCUGGCACCCAGACCACCUCAUUAAGCUGAAGUGGUCUGGGUGCCUGUAGUGGUCCUUUAAGCACUUUGAGAGCAUGAUAGGUGUGUAACUGCUAGUUUGACAUUGGAACAGUUUUGAAUUUUUAUGUGCUGAUGUCCGGACUGUUUUAUUAACUUUAAUGAUUAGUAC